rnacentral:rRNA from 1 species
UCAAGUCAUCAUGGCCCUUACGACCAGGGCUACACACGUGCUACAAUGGCGCAUACAAAGAGAAGCGACCUCGCGAGAGCAAGCGGACCUCAUAAAGUGCGUCGUAGUCCGGAUUGGAGUCUGCAACUCGACUCCAUGAAGUCGGAAUCGCUAGUAAUCGUGGAUCAGAAUGCCACGGUGAAUACGUUCCCGGGCCUUGUACACACCGCCCGUCACACCAUGGGAGUGGGUUGCAAAAGAAGUAGGUAGCUUAACCUUCGGGAGAGCGCUUACCACUUUGUGAUUCAUGACUGGGGUGAAGUCGUAACAAGGUAACCGUAGGGGAACCUGCGGUUGGAUCACCUCCUUA